ACAGUCGUUAAACCACAGGUCUCUGUUCCAGAGUGGAGGCGAGUAGAAGAGGCCAGAGGGUGUUGGAGUCAGAGGGGAGAGAGAGUCGAGAUACCAGGGAGCGACAGAGGAGGUAAGAGGCUGAAUGCAGGAAGAGGAGGGGAUUGGUGAGCCAAAAAAACGUCGGCUUUGGGAAAGGCAGAGGUGGUGUGUGUCGUUCAAAGUCACACACCAGCCAGGUCAGUCUUGAGAGCCCUACCCUGGUAGGGCUCCUGAAUACCACAUAAGGAGGUAAAUGUGAAGACCACAGGGACAUGCUUCCAGCCCCAGAACUGGCAAAGCAGGCCUGGAAGAUAGGCAUUUUCAUUCCUCAGUCCCGUCCCCCCCAGCCUGCCACCUCGCCAAACCAUUCUCUGUAGGGCACCAGGGGAGCCCAGAGGAGCCGCACUGUCUGGCCUCAGCCGACAGCUGUGGGGUGGGCCUCCUUCCUCAUCCAUCUCCUUCUCUGGAGCCUCCUGAGGCACCUGGCUCCCUUGCUCCACCAGUGCUCCUUGGUUUUUUUAAAUUUUUCAAAUUUAUUAACCAUUUUAAGUGUGUACAACUGCCUGCAUGUAUGUGUGUGUGUCGUGUGCAUGCCUUUUGUGUCAAACCUCCUGAAACUGGAGUUGCGGGCAGUUGUGAGCCACCGUGUCGGUGCUGGAAACCCAACUAGGCGCCUAUGGAAGAGCGGCGAGUGCUCUGGACCAUUGAGGCAACUCUCCGCCCCUUCCUCCUGCCUGCUGAGUGGAGCCCUUCCCAAGGUCUGGCCUGUGCUCUCGGUUCCCCAUGUUCUCUCUCAAUCUCAUUUAAGAUGUGGUUUAUAUGCCUGGCUGUGCUUUCCCAAUCCUGAUCACGAGUGUGUCUCUCAGUUUUUCCAAGAGCUUCCAGCCAAUGAUGAAAAUCCCCCCGAGUUCCUCCAGAGCUCCUGGGUUCAUAGUUCUGGCAGAUUGGUUUGUGUUCAUACAUAAAAUAACCUGGGGUGGCUUAUCGUGACCAUCGAUUUGAUGUAAUUAAGAAUCACCUAAGAGACAGAGCUCUGGGCAGGUCUGGGAGGGUGUGUCCAGACACGUUUCACUGAAGCAGGAAGACCCACUUGGAACGUGCUCCCUUCCGUGCUAGGCUGGGCUCCCAGACUGACUGAGAAGAAUAAAGCCUGCCUGUCUUUUAUUUCUGCUUCCUGACCAGCUGCCUCAGGCUCCUGCUCAUAUACCUCCCUGGCCCAGAUGGACUAUCCACUCAGCCAGCAUGCAUGUUCCUUCCUCAGACAUUUUGUCACGUCGCCGAGAAAAGCACCCAAUACAGCUGCACAGCCAAGUCCGUUCAGUCUCCUUCUACAACGCUAAGCUGCCCCCUGCCCCCACGUUCCCACUGUCCUUCAUCCUCAGCAUCCGGGGCCCCGUCUCUGUUCACGCCUGCAUCCAGGCAAUCCCCACUUCCAUUUCUUCCCACCGUUGUCUGUGUCUUCCUCUUCUCUCUUCCAUCUAUCUGCCUUGCUUAGAAGUUAACUCACCCCGGGAUUCCACUCAGUUUCCCCGGGGUCCUUCCGGAUUUUCUUCCCACCCUCACCAUCUAUCCGAAGCUUGGAUCUGCCCCUCACCUUCGGUAGUGAGCUCCUCUGGGUUAUCUGGAAGCUCACCCUUGCCCGCCUGGCGGAGUUUAAGAGGGGGGCUUCUCCACGUCACGGGCUGGUCUUGAACUCAUAAUCCUGCCUCAGCCUCUGCUGGUAUUACAGGCAUGCACUGAUAUGCCCAGUGUCCGCGUUAUACCUGGGGCCUCCCCAUUCUUGCUCUCCCACGUGUACGGGUCUCAUACUCUAGGAAAACUGGUUAAUUCUGGUUCUUCCAGCAUAUCUAGAGUUGUUCUUUCUUUCGCUGGCCCUUGCUCAAGCUUUUUCUCCUGCUACAAUGCUCCUCCCAACCCAGCUCUCACUUCUCCUUCUGUUGAAUCCCAUCCAUCUUUGAAGACUCUUUUUUUUUUGGGGGGGGGGCAGGGGGUCGGGUAUUGAGACAAGGUCUCCUUCUAUAGUCCCUGUUGGCCUUAAAGUCUUGGUAAUUCUCCUGCCCCAGCCUCCCAAGAGCUGGGCUUACAGCAUGGGCCAACACACCGGGCUCUCUGAGUCUCUUUUCUUUAUCAUAUUCUCCCUUGCUUGGCUUUGUAUCUUUUGCUACCGGAACAUUUCCUUUGCAGCUCUCAGAAGCACUUGUUUUUGUUUUUGUUUUUUAAACCAUGUGACACUGCCUUUACCCAGAUGACUUCCCUUUGGAGGCCGCCCAGCCAGGGGCUCUCCUCUGUGUUUUCAGAAAGUGAAUUGCUAUGAUGUGCUUCAGGAAGCAGGUUCUUCCUUGGCAUUUGUGUCUUCAGCCACAAAAUUAAACAACCCAUAGGUUGGGUUAUUAGCAAUCCGGCCAGUGUCUGGGCUUCCACGUUCGGUGAACAUUCCUGAAGCAUUGUUUGCUGACUGCCUGAGCUGGGUGGGGUCAAUCUGGCUGCUUUGCAUCUGCGUUAGGGGCUUCCCAGGCAGGUGGUUCUUCUGGAACAUUCCAUCGGGUCUCAUUUCUGUGAAACCCACCUCAGCCUGGCCACAGUGGGGUGGUCAGGCAGAUGCUUGAAAAGGAAUUCAGUUCUGAGGGGGACUCCCUAUGGGCUGAUGAGGCGAAGCCUUGGACCGGGGAAGUGGCAGGACUACAGAGUGAAAAGUGGACUGUACUUACUUCAAAGCCACAAGAAGUCUGUCUGGGAGCCGAAGGAAGGCACCACCACUCUGGAGGCUAAAAUGCUGAGGGAGGGAGACUGAGAACUUAGUGGAGCAGUGACCUGCGGGGUGGGGGAGGGGAGUGAAAGUUCCAGCAUCCUGAGGCUAGAGCUGGAGUCGCCCUGUUUUAUCCCCCUGUGGCAGCAUCAAAACAAAAGCAUCUUUAACAAAAGCCUUGAUCGGGGGUUUAAAAUGAUCUGGCUCUAAAAUGUAGGAACAGGCUGGUGGGAUGGCUCUUAGGAGAAUGCACUGCUCUUCCAGAAGACCCGCGUGUGGUUCCCGACAAACCUAUCAGGCGGCUUAGUUUCCAAGUGUCUGUAACUCCAGUUCCAGGGGACUCUUCACCUCUCGCCUCUGCACUCCUUUGUGCAUACCCACACCGGGACACACAUACACACACAUGGUUAAAAACAACAAUUCAAAUCUUUUUUUAUAAGUGUGAAGCAUUUUGUUACCCAGAGGCAGAAGGAAUAAUGCAAUGGGCACUGGACUCGCCUCACAGGGGACUGGGACACUUUGGAGACCUGACCCAAAGCCCCACAGCAAGGAAGCAGGAAGAAGUGGGUAUGGAGGGGAGGUGGGGGACAAAGGAAUGUCCACCUGUCCCCACCUGCCCGUCCCUGCUCUAGAAACUCUUUGGUAAACUGCUGGGUAAACUGUCUGGGGACACCUACUGCGGCUCAAUUCUUCCGCUUUGUAAACAGAGCCCCAGAGAGAUUGGGACUGCACAUCUGAAGUCACACAAUGGAGAGUAUCAGAAACUCAGAUCCAAGUUCUCAGGUGGCCGCGUCAUGGAUCUUUGUACUCAGCCUCCUUUUCAGUGGAGGAGAGCUCCCACAUGCUGGACAGCGUCAGGAGGCUGAGGCCUGUGUGCUCCCCACGGACUGACUGCAGCUGGACUUCUGCCUCUGCCUGCCAAGAGAGCAAAGCCCGUUUUGAUUUGGUGUCCAACACCUGUCCCUGUGCCCCAUGCUCAAUGCGUGCUCACGUUUGUCCCACACUUCCACCUCAGCAGCCACCAUUCUUAGGGACCGAACCUGCAGCGUCUCCACACACUCCCUGGAGCUGGUAUGGCCCCAGCUUGUGUCAAAUUGACCAACAAAACAAAACCUCAAACAAAGAAACUAUCCAGCACAGGCCCUACACACAACCUGUGGAAAUGAAACCCAUUUUUCAAAUCAUCGAUCACUGCCCAUGAGUGGGUCUGGAAAUCAUCCAGGAGAUUACAACCAACCUUCAAAAGAAGCAGAAAAGAGACAGGGUCGGGCACCGUAGCUGGCAGAGUACUUGCCUGGUAGCCAUAAAGCUGUAGGUUUGAUCCCUAGCACCACAUAAAACUCCAGGCAUGUGCCUGGAAUCCCAGCACUCUGGAGUAGAGGCAGGAGAAUCAGAAGUUCGAA